UGAAAGCAGGUGCAGGUAAAGUCAUCAUCAUCAUUUCAUCAGUGCACAUGUGCAUGAUAGUAACAUAUGGGAUUAGCAUCCAGGUCUCCAAUGGGGGAUUCAUCAGUGAUCAGUCAGCAAGAGGAAGAUCUGUCAUUGAGGAGAUAGGACUUAUUGGGUUCCCUACCCACUUUUGCCAUCACUAUGGACACACAAGCAGGUGUACCUACGUAAUAUACUGUAGGCUUAUUGAUAAAUCCUUUAGGGUUAAACUGUUGCCUGUAUUAUUUAUUUAUUUAUUUAUUUAUGUAUACCUUAUAGUCACUGUUGAAUAUUUAUAAACUAAACACAAAUUACAAACUCAUUCAAUAAAUUAAUGAAUCCAACAUCAACUCAAAGAAAGUGGUCAUGAUCGAAAGAUAAUUCAACACCUUGUGUUCAACUCCUACAAAGUGACGUUUACAAGCCACCCCCCUCCUGCAUGAGGUGCGCGAGCCCCGCCCCCCCUCCGCAUGAGGUGCGUGAGCUGCAUGCUGCAGACAAACAGCAGUGAAAUGCCAUGAGGAGUGGCCUUUAAGAUGAUAUGGCUGGCAAUGAAGCGAUAAUGGAGAAAUCUGUGAGGAGAAGACGGGUCCGUCCUCAACAGGAUGCCGAACAACACAUUAAACUGAAAAUGACAAGGCUGGUCUCACAGAGCAUUUUAUCAACCCAUACAAAGCAGCAAUUGGCACCUGAUGUUAGCCAGCUGAUUGUGGAAGAAAGCGACAGACCUCAGCAGCAAUUGGCACCUGAUGUUAGCCAGCCAAGUGUCGAAGAAACCAACAGACCUCAGCAGCAAUUGGCACCUGAUGUUAGCAAGCCAAUUGUCGAAGCAAGCGAAAGACCUCAGACAACAGAGGUAACUCCAAACGUAAGUGGGAAGACAGUGAGGUGCUUGCAGUUGAAAGACACAUGAUGCGCUUCAUCCACACAUGCAAGGUACCUCAAAAGAUUGACUGCAUUCCGUGCAUCAAUGCAGAACCGAAUCUGGACUGGAGUGAAAAAUUAUGUUCGAAAUUGGAUCACUGCCUUAAAGAGAAAGGCUUGUUUACAGGACUCACAAUAGCUAUUUCUUGAAGUAUACCUGUGUGAAGUAUGUCUGUUAUCUUAUUCUAGAGGCUAAUGUUAAGUUUGUUUGUGCCUAAAGCCCCCUUUUUUUUAUAUUGCCAAAAUUCUUGGUUGUAGUUUAGAGCACAACCUGCUAUUAUCAUGUUGCUGGCGAGCCCAAGAAAUUAUUUCUCUAGUCAAGUAUGUUAACUGACUGCUGUCCAGAUGCAUUCAUUUGAAAGCUAGCCAAGUUUGUGGCGACCUGUAAUUUUCAAGGACAUUGCAUUUGAGCUGUGUGGCACUGUACAUGAUGUCCAUUAUGUUACUAAAACAUAAGUUAACAGCAAACGCAUGUCUGUUUGGUGUAUUUUUAUUUCAUGCAGAUUUUCAUUGUGGUGCUACUAUGACAUAUUCAGUCUACCUCUUAAUCUGCAUUAUUCCAUGGUCUGGGUGAGUACUGUUUUCUGAUUGGCCGACAGGUGUGUGUCAAUUAAGAAAUAGCUCACGACAGGCCGUGGUAUGUUGGGAUUAUAUCACAACUAAAGGGCGAUGUUUGGCCCAACGAGACCAGUGUUACACGAUCAAAGAUUGAAUUUUAUAUUUCAUCACAACAUGCUCUCCUUAAUAAACAUAGCUGAAAGUGCAUGCAGAUAAUGACAUUAUAUGAGUCUUGUCCCCAAAGGAAAGUGAGGCACCCAAAGGUGACUUUUAUCAGUCUGUGUAUUUGUGUAUAGCUGAAGACCCACAUUAAAAUUAUUCGUCCCCAAUAUCAAGGUAAAAAUUCUGUAUGGACAAAAGUUGUUUAAAACGAAAAUCUCAAGUUAUUUUCAUAAUCUGGAGACUCCCAGUAAUAUAUUCCACUUGCCAGCAUCUCUCUAAACCAUUCAGAAAGUGGUGUCCUCUAAGGGGGGGUGUUGAAAUGUGCGCCCCCAAAGAGGACAUAAGUAAGUAGGUGUGUGUGUGUGUGUGUGUGUGUGUUUUAUAGGCCUACAGUAAUAUCUUACCUCAAUGGGAUGUUAUGACACUAAAAAUGACAAGAAAGAUAUUGGAGAAAAUAAAUCAAAUUGUUGAUGAUACAGUUUACAGUGGUAUUACAGUCACUGUGCAGUGAUGCAUUAGAAUUGCGGUAAAGUUACUGUAAGUAAAACUACAAUACAAUUACAUUGGUAACUCAUUCUUUAAGAAAUACAUACAUUAUGAAUGGUAAUACAGAGUUGUCCUUUGAAUUGUAUGUCUAGGAUUGGACGACAACCUCGCACGGGUGGCAGAGGAAAACUCAAUGACCAAUAAGAGCAAUAUAUCUGUCUCAGUGUGAUGGCAAAUAAUGCCACCAUUUGAGAUGAACUCUGAUAGAGUGAAAGAGCUGCGGUACCAGUAUGUACAUGUAAGUCAGUUACUGGUUGUCUAUCAUUAUAACCUUUUUACAAUUAAGCAGUGGUUCCCAAACAUUUUUGGCUUCAGUACCCCCUUUACCUGAUGUCUGAAUCCAAGAAUUUGCUUUAUCUGACUUCAACAUUUUGCCUAAAAACUGCAACACAAAACUGCAGCUUAUCAUUAUAAACCUUAUUUUGAAGAAUAUAAGAUACGGUAAGAAAAGGGGUCAAGGAGCUGCAAUUAGUGUCUCCCAAGCAGAUCUAUCUAAUACUGUGGGUUUUACUGUAACAUUUCAGUAUGUCAUUGAUGAUUUCCCCCUCCCCUUUGUCUCAAUAUACGCUAUGAUGUGGACGAGAAUCUGUGGCCAGACAGACAGCAACAUGUGGACGGCCAGGAGGGUGAGGAUGGUGGCCAGGAGAGGGAGGGUGAGGACAGUGACCAGCGAAGAAAUGUUUUGAAUCUCCAGCUUUAUUGACAGCACGGGUGAGGAUGGUGGCCAGGAGAGGGAGGGUGAGGACAGUGACCAGCGAAGAAAUGUUUUGAAUCUCCAGCUUUAUUGACAGCACUGUAGGCUACAUAUCAUUUUCCUUGUUUUUUGUUUAUGUGUUUAUAUUACAGUAUAUUGUGCUGUAUACAUUUUCUUUUAACUCUGAUGUAUGGAAGUUACUUUAUGUGUGUAAAUUAAAAUGGUUACAAU
ensembl:lncRNA